rnacentral:rRNA from 1 species
GAUGAACGCUGGCGGCGUGCCUAAUACAUGCAAGUCGAGCGAACAGACGAGGAGCUUGCUCCUCUGACGUUAGCGGCGGACGGGUGAGUAACACGUGGAUAACCUACCUAUAAGACUGGGAUAACUUCGGGAAACCGGAGCUAAUACCGGAUAAUAUAUUGAACCGCAUGGUUCAAUAGUGAAAGACGGUUUUGCUGUCACUUAUAGAUGGAUCCGCGCCGCAUUAGCUAGUUGGUAAGGUAACGGCUUACCAAGGCAACGAUGCGUAGCCGACCUGAGAGGGUGAUAGGCGACACGGGAGCGGAGACACGGUCCAGACUACUAAGGGAGGCAGCAGUAGGGAAUCUGCCGCAAAGGGCGAAAGCCUGACGGAGCAACGCCGCGUGAGUGAUGAAGGUCUUCGGAUCGUAAAACUCUGUUAUUAGGGAAGAACAAAUGUGUAAGUAACUAUGCACGUCUUGACGGUACCUAAUCAGAAAGCCACGGCUAACUACGUG